UACAGAGGUCUCAAGCGUUGUUCGGAUUCAUUGGGCGUAAAGGGUGCGUAGGUGGCGCCGUAAGUCGGGUGUGAAAUUUCGGAGCUCAACUCCGAAAUUGCACUGGAUACUGCUCUGCUAGAGGGCUGGAGAGGAGAUCGGAAUUCACGGUGUAGCAGUGAAAUGCGUAGAUAUCGUGAGGAAGACCAGUGGCGAAGGCGGAUCUCUGGACAGCUCCUGACGCUGAGGCGCGAAGGCUAGGGGAGCAAACGGG
rnacentral:rRNA from 1 species